UGUAACAAGUUUUGGUCCAUAGUUCUAUCA
rnacentral:piRNA from 1 species